AUGUCUGGGAAACUGCCUGAUGGAGGGGGAUAACUACUGGAAACGGUAGCUAAUACCGCAUAACGUCGCAAGACCAAAGAGGGGGACCUUCGGGCCUCUUGCCAUCAGAUGUGCCCAGAUGGGAUUAGCUAGUAGGUGGGGUAACGGCUCACCUAGGCGACGAUCCCUAGCUGGUCUGAGAGGAUGACCAGCCACACUGGAACUGAGACACGGUCCAGACUCCUACGGGAGGCAGCAGUGGGGAAUAUUGCACAAUGGGCGCAAGCCUGAUGCAGCCAUGCCGCGUGUAUGAAGAAGGCCUUCGGGUUGUAAAG
rnacentral:rRNA from 3 species